AAACUUUCAACAACGGAUCUCUUGGUUCUGGCAUCGAUGAAGAACGCAGCGAAAUGCGAUAAGUAUGCGAAUUGCAGAAUUCAGUGAAGCAUCGAAUCUUUGAACGCA
rnacentral:rRNA from 1 species